rnacentral:lncRNA from 1 species
UUGGCUAAGACCGUUAGCUGGUUUGGUUAGCAGGACAUUUCCAGGGUAUCACAGUAUACUGAAAUAUUACAAGAAAGGUCCAUAAAUGCUGUACAUCCUCCAAUCUGUAAAUUGUUCAGCAACAGGAAGACAGUGAAAGAUAGACGGCAACUCACCAAGAAGAAUAUGUCAGUGAUUUCCCCUAAGAUGUGAUUGUUCCACAGAAGCAUUCUUCAGGGGAGUGGGUCUGUGCAGGCAGUAAGUGGGAAGAUCUUCACUUAGUGUGCCGUCCUUCCUCAGCUUCAAGAGAAUCCACUUGAAGGAGAAGUCCCAUAUAUUAUGUCCAAUGCUGUGAAGCAUCUUUUGGUGCCUUCAUUUCAUCCAACACCAAAAUCCUCAAUGGUGAAGAAAUCUAUAAAUGUAGUAUUGACCUUGAGAAAAAGUUGAGCACAACUGCGCCCUCAUGCAGCACUGGAGAAACCUAUACAUGUAAAGAAGGACAGUUUUCAUUUGACUCUCAGAGCUGAUUGUAUAUUGGCAAACAUAUUUUUCUGCCAUUGCUUAGGGAUAAGAAAUCUAACAGAAACAUCAAAUAAAAUACUGAAGAGAGAA